rnacentral:rRNA from 1 species
AUGGCGGUCGCUGUUGCGGUUGUGCUCCCAUGGCUGUCCUCCUGCGCGGGGCGGCGCCGUUGCUGGACUUCGAGAGGAGCUCCUCUCCCUACGCCGAUGAGGAGAGCGGGGAGGCUGCAGGGACAAAGGACGAUGUCAUCUCGGUCCUGCAGGCCGAAGGCGCGAGGCUUGGUGCGGGAGGAGUCCGGCGAGCCGUCCAUCCGGGCCGGAAGACGAGCGCGGGGUUCAUGCGGGCUAAGCAGAGGACGGCGUCGAGCUCGUUCCCGAGCAGAGGUGCAGCACGGGCUUGAGCGCUGGGCCUCGUCCUCGAAGCAGAGGAAGCAGGGGCGCGGGACAUGGCGUGAUGCUGGAAGAUGGAGGUCGUCGGCGGCGCUUGGCGACGGGGACGGCUGGAGGCGGCCGGAUCAGGACGGAUCUGGGACGAAGGGACCCGUUCCCGGCGAUGGCGAGCUGGGAGGCGAGACUGCUCCUGGUUGA